CUGUCGUGCCCAGCGGAAGGAUGAGUAAUACGUGCUACAUACUCUAUAUUGCUUUAUUUACAGUUCAAAGCUGGUAUAUUACAGAAAGACAUCUUGCCUCUCUGGAGCAGAAAAAUGCAUCCUCUCUCCUCGACAGCUUGGAGAGAAUCACACAGUGAAAAACAGGAAACCAGUGUACGUCACAUCCAGUCUCCCUUUCCCGUGAGAAACUCCAACAGUACAGACUGUGGAAUGUAAACACCUGUCUUGUGACUGCAGUUGCUGCUCAGUGAAGGAAAUAGAAACCAACAUCCUCCCCCUUUCUGUGAACAUCACUGGGCAGCGUGUUUGCACAAUAUCAGUACAAACCCAACUUCUGCACAUAGGUACAGUGUUGAUCCCUUGAUACAAUCUUGGACAAUACAUCAGCAGGAAUUUCAUUACCUGGCAUAUAGGACACCGUUACGAGUCCCUUCUGAAUACAUUCCCUAGCAUGCUGCAACUUUAAUUGCAAGUGCUUUGUGCUUUGCUUACAACCUUCAGACUUCAGCAAAGCCAAACAUGCUCUGUUGUCCUGGUAAACCUGGAUUGGACAUUUGACAGGAAUUUUCAUAUCUGUGCACAAUUGUACUAACCAUUCACAAUCCUUAAGUGAAUAAGACAGUGCAUUCAGUUCAGCUUCACAAGUACUUAAGCUAACUGUUGUUUGCUUCUUGCAUGACCAAUCAAACAGACUCUGAUUGUACAUGUAGCAAACUCCAGACGUACUUUUCCUGUCUGUAGUGUCACUUCCAAAACUUGCAUCUGCAAAUAUCUCAAGACCACCAGACUUCUGAUUGUUAAAUCUCAGUCUGUAAUGCAUAGUGCCUUUCAAAUACCGCGCUAUGCGUUUCAGAGCUUUCCAAUCCUUGACACUAGGAUUGUUGACUUGUCUGCUUAGCAAAUUACAGCUAACAGCAAUGUCUGGUCUUGAACAUCUGGCAAUGAAGUUUAGCUUGCCUAGCACACUCCUGUACAGUGUAGUGUCAGAAAAUGCUUCUUCAGUGUCAUCUACCUGAUAACCUGUUGUCAUCGGUGUGUCUACAGGGUUAGCAUCCAUCAGAUUUAGUUUGCUUAACACAUCAGCAAUUUUCCGUGACUGGUGUACUAGAAUGUUACCAUCUUGAUCUCUCUCUAUUUCCAGAGAUAGGUAGUUGUUUACCUCACCAAGAUCUUUCAUGUCAAAGUGCUCUUUCAGUUGAGCUAGGGCGCUAUUGUACAUUGCAACAUCUUUCC
rnacentral:lncRNA from 1 species